UGGGGAAUUUUCCGCAAUGGGCGAAAGCUGACGGAGCAAUACCGCGUGAGGGAAGACUGCCUAUGGGUUGUAAACCUCUUUUUUCAGGGAGGAAUAAAAUGACGUGUACCUGAAGAAUAAGCAUCGGCUAACUCCGUGCCAGCAGCCGCGGUAAGACGGAGGAUGCAAGUGUUAUCCGGAAUCACUGGGCGUAAAGCGUCUGUAGGUGGUUUAAUAAGUCAACUGUUAAAUCUUGAGGCUCAACCUCAAAAUCGCAGUCGAAACUAUUAGACUAGAGUAUAGUAGAGGUAAAGGGAAUUUCCAGUGGAGCGGUGAAAUGCGUAGAUAUUGGAAAGAACACCGAUGGCGAAAGCACUUUACUGGGCUAUUACUAACACUCAGAGACGAAAGCUAGGGUAGCAAAUGGGAUUAGAUACCCCAGUAGUCCUAGCCGUAAACUAUGGAAACUCAGAUGUUGAACAGAUCGACCUGUGCAGUAUCAAAGCUAACGCGUUAAGUAUCCGCCUGGGAAGUAUGCUCGCAAGAGUGAAACU
rnacentral:rRNA from 1 species